rnacentral:rRNA from 1 species
UAACGAAUCUUCCGCAAUGGGCGCAAGCCUGACGGAGCAAUGCCGCGUGCGGGAUGAAGUACCUCUGGUAUGUAAACCGCUGUCGGGGGUAGAACCAAUGAUCACCCCCAAAGGAAGUGGCGACUAACUCUGUGCCAGCAGUCGCGGUAAUACAGAGGCCACAAGCGUUAGUCGGAAUCACUGGGCUUAAAGGGUGCGUAGGCUGGCUCGUAAGUGUUCUGUGAAAGCCCCCGGCUCAACCGGGGAACAGCAGGGCAUACUGCGGGUCUUGAGGCAGGUAGGGGUCGCGAGAACAGUAGGUGGAGCGGUGAAAUGCGUAGAUAUCUACUGGAAUGCCGAUGGUGAAGACGCGCGACUGGGCCUGUCCUGACGCUGAGGCGCGAAAGCUAGGGGAGCAAACGGGAUUAGAUACCCUCGUAGUCCCUGAGCGGGCUGGCAAGGCGCAU